AGUCGUAACAAGGUUUCCGUAGGUGAACCUGCGGAAGGAUCAUUAAAGAGUAAGGGUGCUCAGCGCCCGACCUCCAACCCUUUGUUGUUAAAACUACCUUGUUGCUUUGGCGGGACCGCUCGGUCUCGAGCCGCUGGGGAUUCGUCCCAGGCGAGCGCCCGCCAGAGUUAAACCAAACUCUUGUUAUUAAACCGGUCGUCUGAGUUAAAAUUUUGAAUAAAUCAAAACUUUCAACAACGGAUCUCUUGGUUCUCGCAUCGAUGAAGAACGCAGCGAAAUGCGAUAAGUAAUGUGAAUUGCAGAAUUCAGUGAAUCAUCGAAUCUUUGAACGCACAUUGCGCCCCUUGGUAUUCCGAGGGGCAUGCCCGUUCGAGCGUCAUUACACCACUCAAGCUAUGCUUGGUAUUGGGUGCCGUCCUUAGUUGGGCGCGCCUUAAAGACCUCGGCGAGGCCUCACCGGCUUUAGGCGUAGUAGGAUUUAUUCGAACGUCUGUCAAAGGAGAGGACUUCUGCCGACUGAAACCUUUUAUUUUUCUAGGUCGACCUCGGAUCAGGUAGGGAUACCCGCUGAACUUAAGCAUAUCUAAAAGUCG
rnacentral:rRNA from 1 species